UACAGAGGGUGCGAGCGUUGUUCGGAAUUAUUGGGCGUAAAGGGCGCGUAGGCGGUGCGGUAAGUCACCUGUGAAAUCUCCUGGCUCAACUGGGAGCUUGCAGGCGAAACUGCCGUGCUGGAGUGUGGGAGAGGUGCGUGGAAUUCCUGGUGUAGCGGUGAAAUGCGUAGAGAUCGGGAGGAACACCUGUGGCGAAGGCGGCCCCCUGGGCCGGCCCUGACACUGAGACGCGAAGGCGUGGGGAGCGAACGGG
rnacentral:rRNA from 1 species